GGGCCCAUAGCUCAGCUGGUAGAGCGCUUGGCUGGCAGCCAAGAGGUCAGGGGUUCGAGUCCCCUUGGGUCCA
rnacentral:tRNA from 1 species